AAGUGAUCCUCCCACCUUGGCCUCCCGAAGUGCUAGGAUUACAGAACCCUGAAUUUGAGUACAUGUACCUGGCACAGAUGCCUUGACUCAGGCAAGCUAGGCUCCUGCCCCAGGCCCAGGGAAAGCAUCAGUCUCCAGGCCCAAUGCUGACACACCAUCUCCACUCCCUAUGAUGCCCCUCUCUCUGUGGCCCAAAGAGAGGAUACAGCAAGAGCAAAAGCUGAAAGGUGAGAAAGGAAGGAAAUAAAUUUCUGACAUUAGUUUGGAAAGAUCAAUUCUUUGCAUAGGUCACAGCAGCCAGAGUGACCUUAACAUGUAAAUCAUAUGUCAUCCCCUAUUUAAAACCCAUCCGAGGCAAUCAGGAAGAAUGCAAACUCCCUGCAACCAUGUGGAAUGAAACACACACUUUGGUCACCAGUCGCAGCCCUGCCUACUGGCACAGUACCCCUCUGCCACCUCCCCCACCACGCCUCCCUCUUGGAACUCAGCUGUCUGCUGCCUCGGGGCCUGGCACACUCUACUCCCUCUGCGUGGGUCUGCGCUUCGCUAGCCCCUUCUCAUUCCACGGGUCUUAACUCAAACAGUGCUUCAAAUAAAUGGCUAGAGAGGGUCUUUCCUGUUAUUGUCUGCCACAGCAGUUUAUUUUCUUUAGAGAGCUUACUGCACUCCGUCACUGUUUUACCUAGUUCUUGCCUGUUUACCCUGGUAGACUGCUCGUUCACAGAGGAUAGAGACCAUGCCUACCUGUAUCUAAAGUGCUACCACAUUUGCCUGGCACAUAGCUGGUACUUGAUUUUUGCUAAAUAGAUGAAUCUAUGUUUUUUAAAAUAACUCUGGCUGGAGAGCAUAGGGAGAAUUACAAGAGGCAUGAGGAAUAAUUAAAGUGAAGGCAAUUUCUAUGGUUUGAAGGCUGGUGUCCCCCCCCCCCACCCCACCAGAAUCCAUCUGUUGGAACCCAACACGCAAUGUAAUAGUACUAAAACGUAGGGCCUGCAGGGGGUGAUUAAGACAUGGGGGCUGCCCCCAUGAAUGGGAUUAGAGUGCUCUUAUUAAAGAGGUUUGAGGAAGGGCCUGUUUGCCCCCUCCACCAUGUGAGGAUGCAGUAAGAAUGUGCCAUCUUUGAAGCAGGGAGCAAGCCCUCAACGGGACACCAAAUCUGCUGGCGCCUUGAUCUUGGACUGCCCAGCCUCCAGAACUUUGAAGAAAGUGGCAGAGACGGAAUGACAUAAAACCCAGUGGCUUUCUUGGGAUGAGCAUAGAAGUAAAACAAAAUUCAUCUG